rnacentral:rRNA from 1 species
UACGUAGGGGGCUAGCGUUGUCCGGAAUCAUUGGGCGUAAAGAGCGUGUAGGCGGCCCGGUAAGUCCGCUGUAAAAGUCAAAGGCUCAACCUUUGAAUGUCAGUGGAUACUGCCGGGCUAGAGUCCGGAAGAGGCGAGUGGAACUCCUGGUGUAGCGGUGGAAUGCGCAGAUAUCAGGAAGAACACCAACGGCGAAGGCAGCUCGCUGGGACGGUACUGACGCUGAGAGGCGAAAGCGUGGGGAGCGAACGGG